CACGUAGGCGGAUUGGCAAGUCAGAUGUGAAAGCCCGGGGCUUAACCCCGGAAUUGCAUUUGAUACUGUCUGUCUUGAGUAUGGUAGAGGGGGAUGGAAUUCCCGGUGUAGAGGUGAAAUUCGUAGAUAUCGGGAGGAACACCAGAGGCGAAGGCGAUCCCCUGGGCCAUUACUGACGCUGAGGUGCGAAAGCGUGGGGAGCGAACAGGAUUAGAUACCCUGGUAGUCC
rnacentral:rRNA from 1 species